rnacentral:rRNA from 1 species
GACGAACGCUGGCGGCGUGCUUAACACAUGCAAGUCGAACGGAAAGGCCCUGCUUUUGUGGGGUGCUCGAGUGGCGAACGGGUGAGUAACACGUGAGUAACCUGCCCUUGACUUUGGGAUAACUUCAGGAAACUGGGGCUAAUACCGGAUAGGAGCUCCUGCUGCAUGGUGGGGGUUGGAAAGUUUCGGCGGUUGGGGAUGGACUCGCGGCUUAUCAGCUUGUUGGUGGGGUAGUGGCUUACCAAGGCUUUGACGGGUAGCCGGCCUGAGAGGGUGACCGGCCAAAUUGGGAAUGAGAUACGGCCAAGACUCCUACGGGAGGAAGCAGUGGGGAAUAUGGAACAAGGGGCGGAAGCCUGAUGCAGCAACGCCGCGUGCGGGAUGACGGCCUUCGGGUUGUAAACCGCUUUCGACUGUGACGAAGAGUGAGUGAAGGUAAUGGGUAAAGAAGCACCGGCUAACUACGUG